CGCCAGGCAGUCGUCGGUAACGUGGCCACAGCCCGACAGCGUGACGGACGCCAGGUUGGGGCACCUGUGAGGAGAGUGCGGUGACCCGGGGCUCACUGGCCUGUUAAAGCUACCCAACCGCCCCAUGGGACCGAGUGGACUCAUUUACCGAGGAGGACUCGGGCCCUGCGAGGUCACUUCAUCCUGGCCCAGGUACUGCAGCUCCAAAUCGUGGGGAUUCUGUAAGAGCUUGCUACCUGUUGACUGAGGAGGCCCACGAGUCGAGAGCCAUGUGACUCAGCGCGAGGCCCUGCCUCAGCAGAAGCUCUGAGCGAGAAGCCACAUAUAUUGCUGGAGACAACAUGGCACAAGGGAAAAGCCCUGAAGAGGACAAAAGAUCAGCUUUCAAAAUAGGAAGAACUAGCAAGAGUGGUACAAAACUGCAGGUCAUUGGGCUGGCCACCAGGUAUUCCCACCCACCAGAAGCUGGCUGUUGUACUCACCCGGAACCAUGGUGCACCACCACAGCGGCGAGGUCAUACAGGCAGCUCUCCGGGCCACUGUUCUCAGGCUACAGAACAAGGAAGAAGGAGCAGUGGUCAAUGACAUCAGUAUCUCGAUGACCUCUACCCUCUCCAUGUGAUGACAAUCUUACUGAAGAGCCAUUUUUUCACCAUGCUAAAAAGGUAACCACCUUACCUCUAGUAAGUAGCAUUUCAUGUCUAGGCCUCUCAGUGGAAAUUCUACGUAUGUAUCAACUUUAUUUCUUAAAUAUGCUGUCCAAUGAAAUCUUUUCAAAUGUAAGCAUAGCACCUGGAGGAUAGAGAUGAGGUCAAAGAUUGUGAACACCUAAUUUACCUUUCAGUCAAAGUUUGAUACUACUAUCAGUUCAGUAAAUAACAUUUUAGCUGCCCUAUCAAUCAUUCUUCCAUGCAUACCUUAUGCAUUCAUUCUGUAAGGGGUUUAGCUUUUACUGAAAAUCCUAGAGACAAAUACAGAACAGUUCACAUAGUGUAAAGUUAUAGACAUGGUCUUAGCAGUCAAGCAUUUUCCCAUUGAAAUUGCUUCAUAACUCAAAAUUCAACACUCACCUUGGGUAGUUUUUGAAUCCAAAACUUUUUUGUGGACUUUUGUUUCUUUUUGCAUUUAUGGCACAUAUAUAACUCUGUCUCAUCAAGUUCUUCUAAGUCGGUAAAACUGCGAAGACAAUCUAAACAAAUUGAUUUUGGCAGCAUUAAAACAAGAUGCCUUUUGUAGAGGCAAUGUACUGUAGAAAAAAGACCCAGGUUUAAAAUCUCAGCUUUAUUAGCUAUACGACCUUAGAAAAGUUAACCUUUCUCAAUUGCAAACUGGAGACAAAAAAAUAAUACCUACUUUGAAGAACUAUUGUAAGGAAGAGAAAUAACGUGUAGAGCACCUGGCAUCAUGCCUGACAUCUGGUGAUGAUCAAUUAUGUUGGUUUUACUAUUAAUGAUAAUUCAUCUGGAUAAUUCUGAUAAAAUGGUUUCCUGAUGAAUUUAAAGUUUCAAUUGUAGUUUUCUGUCAAUAUGUUACAUUAUACAGGACAAAGCUCCAAACUCAUAAAAAAAAGUCAAAUUUAGAUAAUUUAAAAAUAAACAUAGAUCACAGAAGGCUACACUAUCAACCUUCUCUGUCCAGACGCUAUACUCUCAGUUCCUAGAUAAAUCACAGCUACAUUUUUUUUCAUUUAAAGAUGUAAUUGUGUAACCUGGGGUUUAGUAAACUACAGUCCUAAAACAUCCAGCCAGCCACCUGGUUUUGUAAAUAAAGUUUCACUGGAACACA
rnacentral:antisense_RNA from 1 species